UCGUAGGAGGUUAUACAGGCAAAUCCGUAUAACAAUACUCCGAGAACUGAAAGGCUUUUUGAAGUCUUCGGAUGGAUAGAAGAACCCCUGAUGCCGUCGAGCCAAGAAAAGUUUCUAAGUUUAGCUAAUGUUGCCCGUACCGUAAACCGACACAGGUGGGUGGGAUGAGUAUUCUAAGGCGCGUGGAAGAACUCUCUUUAAGGAACUCUGCAAAAUAGCACCGUAUCUUCGGUAUAAGGUGUGGUUCGCUUCGUAUUAGGAUUUACUCCGAAAGCGAAGAAACUUACAACAAAGAGUCCCUCCCGACUGUUUACCAAAAACACAGCACUCUGCUAACUCGUAAGAGGAUGUAUAGGGUGUGACGCCUGCCCGGUGCUCGAAGGUUAAUUGAUGGGGUUAGCAUUAGCGAAGCUCUUGAUCGAAGCCCGAGUAAACGGCGGCCGUAACUAUAACGGUCCUAAGGUAGCGAAAUUCCUUGUCGGUUAAAUACCGACCUGCAUGAAUGGCGUAACGAGAUGGGAGCUGUCUCAAAGAGGGAUCCAGUGAAAUUGUAGUGGAGGUGAAAAUUCCUCCUACCCGCGGCAAGACGGAAAGACCCCGUGGACCUUUACUACAGCUUGACACUGCUAUUUGGAUAAGAAUGUGCAGGAUAGGUGGGAGGCUUUGAGUAUAUGACGCCAGUUGUAUAUGAGCCAUUGUUGAGAUACCACUCUUUCUUAUUUGGGUAGCUAACCAGCUUGAGUUAUCCUCAAGUGGGACAAUGUCUGGUGGGUAGUUUGACUGGGGCGGUCGCCUCCCAAAUAAUAACGGAGGCUUACAAAGGUUGGCUCAGAACGGUUGGAAAUCGUUCGUAGAGUAUAAAGGUAUAAGCCAGCUUAACUGCAAGACAUACAAGUCAAGCAGAGACGAAAGUCGGUCUUAGUGAUCCGGUGGUUCUGUGUGGAAGGGCCAUCGCUCAAAGGAUAAAAGGUACCCCGGGGAUAACAGGCUGAUCUCCCCCAAGAGCUCACAUCGACGGGGAGGUUUGGCACCUCGAUGUCGGCUCAUCGCAUCCUGGGGCUGGAGCAGGUCCCAAGGGUAUGGCUGUUCGCCAUUUAAAGCGGUACGCGAGCUGGGUUCAGAACGUCGUGAGACAGUUCGGUCCCUAUCUGCCGUGGGCGUAAGAAGAUUGAAGAGAUUUGACCCUAGUACGAGAGGACCGGGUUGAACAAACCACUGGUGUAGCUGUUGUUCUGCCAAGAGCAUCGCAGCGUAGCUAAGUUUGGAAAGGAUAAACGCUGAAAGCAUCUAAGCGUGAAGCCAACUCUAAGAUGAAUCUUCUCUAAGCUCUCUAGAAGACUACUAGUUUGAUAGGCUGGGUGUGUAAUGGAUGAAAGUCCUUUAGCUGACCAGUACUAAUAGAGCGUUUGGCUUAUCUUUAAUAAAGCAU
rnacentral:rRNA from 1 species